GCCUUUGUAGCUCAGUUGGUUAGAGCGCUGUACUUCCGGUGCAGGACCGCAAGUUCGAUUCCUGCAUGCCAGAGGCU